GCAAGCAUAGUUUAACAAAAACACUAGAUUGUGAAUCUAAAAUUAGAGGUUUGAACCCUCUUACAUGCC
rnacentral:tRNA from 1 species